rnacentral:rRNA from 1 species
CCUACGGGGGGCAGCAGUGGGGAAUAUUGCACAAUGGGGGGAACCCUGAUGCAGCGACGCCGCGUGGGUGAGGACGUACUUCGGUAUGUAAAGCUCUAUCAGCAGGGAAGAAAAUGACGGUAGCUGACUAAGAAGCCCCGGCUAACUACGUGCCAGCAGCCGCGGUAAUACGUAGGGGGCAAGCGUUAUCCGGAUUUACUGGGUGUAAAGGGUGCGUAGACGGGGUGCCAAGUCAGAGGUGAAAGGCCUGGGCUCAACCCAUGGACUGCAUUGGAAACUGGAAGUCUGGAGUGACGGAGGGGCAGGCGGAAUGCCCAGUGUAGCGAUGAAAUGCGUAGAGAUUGGGAGGAACACCGGUGGCGAAGGCGGCUUGCUGGACGUUAACUGACGUUGAGGCUCGAAAGCGUGGGGAGCAAACAGGAUUAGAUACCCGAGUAGUC